GUACAAUACAGGUGUGUUCAGUAUGUGACAGGUGUGUUCAGUACAAUACAGGUGUGUUCAGUACGUGACAGGUGUGUUCAGUAUGUGACAGGUGUGUUCAGUAUGUGACAGGUGUGUUCAGUACGUAACAGGUGUGUUCAGUACGUAACAGGUGUGUUCCGUACGAUACAGGUGUGUUCAGUACAAU